GUGGUGUUUGUUUUUUAUUUUUUCUAUUCAGCUAAAAGUAACAUGUUGACAUCAUCCAAUAUAACUAAACUGAACCUAUUGAUAACAAGUUCAUUUUAGCUAUGUUGGAUGAUGUCAAUAAGUUACUUUUAACUAAAUAAAAAAAGCCAAAAAACAAACACCAC